AUGGAGGAGUUCAUCAGCCUCGGCGCAUCCGAGCCUGGCGCCUCGGAAGGCAUCAUAGAUCUCGACCAUGCCCUCCAAGUCGAUGCCGUCGAUUUGAAUCUGAAUCUCAAUGCACAACCACAAGGCAAGCCUAGUACUAGUACUAGUUCCCUCCUCGACAUCAUCGACCUCGAGGAAGGGCAGGUCGCCUCCCAAGAAGCCAGUGCCCAACAUGCGCAGGGGACAGCAGCAGACAACCCCCACCAGGCCAAGCCCCAACAAGAAGCCCUGGGUGCCAAUGGAGGAGUGGGGCCGCCUCCUUCUGAUGGGGUCAUCGAUCUCGAAGAAGGUCAGGUUGAGGACAUGGACCUCUCCGACGACAAUGCCCUAGUCGUUGUUACAAAGCAGCAUGGUCGUGUUUCAGCUGCUCAAACACCCAAGGCCAACAAUGAUGGGCCUCCCCUUUCGACACUUAUCGACCAAAGCCCCACAAGAGGAGUUAAAAGAGCCCGUGCUGAAUCAACAGAGCCUUCUGUCCGUGUAGUCUACAACAACUUGACAAGGGAAAGCAAAAAGAAGCUCAUGGAACUGAUGCAACAAUGGUCUGAGUGGCAAGCUAGAAAGCAGCACGCCUCGACGGAAACUGUAGAAGAAGUCUUGGACUGCGGUGAAGAGACUUAUUAUCCAGCAUUACAUGUUGGUUCAGAGCGAUCCUGUGCUGUGUCAUUCUGGGUGGAUAGCCAAGCACGAGGAAAUGCUGCUGUGGAUGAUGGUGCGGUGCCGCUGUAUGAUCGAGAAUUCACAUUGGGUUCAACUCCUAUGGGUGAUUCAUCAAAUGCUGAAGGCAAGAAAGAUAAGGAUGAUUCUCGCUGUUUCAACUGUGGUUCGUACAGUCAUGCUCUGAAGGAUUGCCCAAAGCCUCGUGACCAUGUUGCAAUUAGCAAUGCCCGCAAGCAGCACAACUUGAAAAGGAACCUAUCUAAUGUUGGUAAUCGUGGACAAAAUCGGUACUACCAGAAGACGCCAGGCAAAUUUGAUGAUCUGAAGGCAGGAGUCCUGGGAUCUGAGACUAGAGAAUGCUUGGGGCUCAGGGAAAAUGACCCGCCGCCGUGGCUGCACAGGAUGCGUGAAUUGGGCUAUCCUCCAGGUUACCUAGAUGAGGUGGAAGAUGAAGAUAAGCCAUCUGGCAUCACCAUAUUUGGGGACGGGGAGGUGAAGGAAGAGCAGCAGCAGCAGGAGGAGGGAGAGCUGCUGGAGAAGGGUGAAGCAUCCUCGCCUCGCAAGAGGAUGACGGUGGGGUUCCCUGGAAUAAACGCGCCCGUCCCAGAGAACGGCGACCCUUGGCUGUGGGGCAGCGCUCCUCCGCCCCCUCUUCAGUCCUCCUCGGGCCGUCACAACCAGCACUCGUCAUCAGAUUCGAGGGAUAGAGCUCCUCCUGCUCCUCCAGGCGUUGAGCAUUACUCGUCAUCGAGGUAUCACUCGUACGACUACGGACCGGCGAUCCCUGGUGCGGGAAGAAGAAGCUCAUCUGGCUAUGACGAUGGUGCCUGGACCCCGAGCCCUUCGUUUUCGAGCAGGCAGCACUCGGGCUCGGGUUCGGGCUCGAGGGAAAGGGAAAGGGACUGGGAGAGGGAGAGGGAGAGGGAGAGGGAAAGGGACAGAGAGAGGGACAGGCACUACUACAGCAGCAGGAGGUGA
rnacentral:rRNA from 1 species